AGUGAACGCUGGCGGCAGGCCUAACACAUGCAAGUCGAGCGGCAGCGGGUCGUAGCAAUACGAUGCCGGCGAGCGGCGGACGGGUGAGGAAUACAUCGGAAUCUACCCAGUCGUGGGGGAUAACGUAGGGAAACUUACGCUAAUACCGCAUACGACCUGAGGGUGAAAGCAGGGGACCGCAAGGCCUUGCGCGAUUGGAUGAGCCGAUGCCGGAUUAGCUAGUUGGUGAGGUAAAGGCUCACCAAGGCGACGAUCCGUAGCUGGUCUGAGAGGAGGAUCAGCCACACUGGAACGGAGACACGGUCCAGACUCCUACGGGAGGCAGCAGUGGGGAAUAUUGGACAAUGGGCGCAAGCCUGAUCCAGCCAUGCCGCGUGUGUGAAGAAGGCCUUCGGGUUGUAAAGCACUUUUGUCCGGGAAGAAAUCUUCCGACCUAAUACGUCGGGAGGAUGACGGUACCGGAAGAAUAAGCACCGGCUAACUUCGUGCCAGCCGCCGCGGUAAUAC
rnacentral:rRNA from 1 species